GUGUGCGUGCUGUGACCAGCAGACCGGCUGACGCCAGGUGAAGGCCCACUGGCCCAGCAGCAAAAAACAGUUCACAGCAGCACUCGUCGGUGUAGCUGCACUUGAGGAACCUCCUGCAACCACAGCACUGCUCUUUGUGGGAACUUGACGACUGCUCCUGCUCGGCCUCGAAGCACCUUGGUCAGACAUCAGACUCUGCAAUUUACAAAUUAGAGCUGCUCAA